rnacentral:rRNA from 1 species
ACAGGGAUUGCCCUAGUAACGGCGAGUGAAGCGGCAUCAGCUCAAAUUUGAAAUCUGGCUCUUUCAGGGUCCGAGUUGUAAUUUGCAGAGGGCGCUUUGGCGUUGGCAGCGGUCCAAGUUCCUUGGAACAGGACGUCACAGAGGGUGAGAAUCCCGUACGUGGUCGCUGGCCUUCGCCGUGUAAAGCCCCUUCGACGAGUCGAGUUGUUUGGGAAUGCAGCUCUAAAUGGGAGGUAAAUUUCUUCUAAAGCUAAAUACUGGCCAGAGACCGAUAGCGCACAAGUAGAGUGAUCGAAAGAUGAAAAGCACUUUGGAAAGAGAGUCAAAUAGCACGUGAAAUUGUUGAAAGGGAAGCGCUUGCAGCCAGACUUGCCUGUAGUUGCUCAUCCGGGCUCUUGCCCGGUGCACUCUUCUGCGGGCAGGCCAGCAUCAGUCUGGGCGGUUGGAUAAAGGCCUCUGUCAUGUACCUCCUUUCGGGGAGGCCUUAUAGGGGAGGCGCCAUGCAACCAGCCUGGACUGAGGUCCGCGCAUCUGCUAGGAUGCUGGCGUAAUGGCUGUAAGCGGCCCGUCUUGAAACACGGACCAAGGAGUCUAACAUCUAUGCGAGUGUUUGGGUGUCAAGCCCGAACGCGUAAUGAAAGUGAACGGAGGUGGGAUCCCGUAAGGGUGCACCAUCGACCGAUCCUGAUGUCUUCGGAUGGAUUUGAGUAAGAGCAUGGCUGUUGGGACCCGAAAGAUGGUGAACUAUGCUUGAAUAGGGUGAAGCCAGAGGAAACUCUGGUGGAGGCUCGCAGCGGUUCUGACGUGCAAAUCGAUCGUCAAAUUUGGGCAUAGGGGCGAAAGACUAAUCGAACUAUCUAGUAGCUGGUUCCUGCCGAAGUUUCCCUCAGGAUAGCAGUAACGUAUUCAGUUUUAUGAGGUAAAGCGAAUGAUUAGAGGCCUGGGGGUUGAAACAACCUUCACCUAUUCUCAAACUUUAAAUAUGUAAGAAGUCCUUGUUACUUAAUUGAACGUGGACACUUGAAUGUACCGUUACUAGUGGGCCAUUUUUGGUAAGCAGAACUGGCGAUGCGGGAUGAACCGAACGCGGGGUUAAGGUGCCAGAAUAUACGCUCAUCAGACACCACAAAAGGUGUUAGUUCAUCUAGACAGCAGGACGGUGGCCAUGGAAGUCGGAAUCCGCUAAGGAGUGUGUAACAACUCACCUGCCGAAUGAACUAGCCCUGAAAAUGGAUGGCGCUCAAGCGUAUUACCCAUACCCCGCCGCCGGGGCAAGAUUUAAGCCCCGGCGAGUAGGCAGGCGUGGAGGCUCGUGACGAAGCCUUGG